UCCAGACUCCUACGGGAGGCAGCAGUGAGGAAUAUUGGUCAAUGGGAGAGAUCCUGAACCAGCCAAGCCGCGUGAGGGAAGACGGCCCUAUGGGUUGUAAACCUCUUUUGUCGGAGAACAAAACCCGGGACGUGUCCCGGACUGCGUGUAUCCGAAGAAAAAGCAUCGGCUAACUCCGUGCCAGCAGCCGCGGUAAUACGGAGGAUGCGAGCGUUAUCCGGAAUUAUUGGGCGUAAAGGGUGCGUAGAUGGCAUAGUAAGUCUUUUGUAAAAAUGCUGGGCUCAACCCAGUAGGGCAAAAGAUACUGCAAAGCUAGAGUAUGACAGAGGCAAGUGGAACUACAUGUGUAGCGGUAAAAUGCGUAAAUAUAUGUAAGAACACCAGUGGCGAAGGCGGCUUGCUGGGUCGAUACUGACAUUGAGGCACGAAAGCGUGGGGAGCAAACAGGAUUAGAUACCCGAGUA
rnacentral:rRNA from 1 species